GGCACUGUGGCGGAGUGGUUAACGCGACAGAUUCGAAUCAAUAAUUCUAUCUGUUCCGAUUUUCGGGCGCAUGUUCGAAUCAUGCCAGUGUCG